UGCCAGCAGCCGCGGUAAUACGGGGGGUGCAAGUGUUAUCCGGAUUUAUUGGGUUUAAAGGGUGCGUAGGCGGGAUAAUGAGUCAGUGGUGAAAGCCUGCAGCUUAACUGUAGAAUUGCCAUUGAUACUGUUAUUCUUGAGUUUAGUUGAAGUGGGCGGAAUGUGGCAUGUAGCGGUGAAAUGCAUAGAUAUGCCACAGAACACCGAUUGCGAAGGCAGCUCACUAAGCUAUAACUGACGCUGAGGCACGAAAGCGUGGGGAGCGAACAGGAUUAGAUA
rnacentral:rRNA from 1 species